CAACUUUCAGCAACGGAUCUCUUGGCUCUCGCAUCGAUGAAGAACGCAGCGAAAUGCGAUAAGUAAUGUGAAUUGCAGAAUUCAGUGAAUCAUCGAAUCUUUGAACGCACCUUGCGCCCCUUGGUAUUCCGAGGGGCAUGCCUGUUUGAGUGUCAUUAAG
rnacentral:rRNA from 1 species